GACGAACGCUGGCGGCGUGCUUAACACAUGCAAGUCGAACGAGAAAGCCCUUCGGGGUAAGUACAGUGGCGAACGGGUGAGUAACACGUGGGCAACCUGCCCCAGAGAGCGGGACAACCCGGGGAAACCCGGGCUAAUACCGCAUGAUGCGUCUCCACUUAAGUGGAGCCGCCAAAUGGUAGCUUCGGCCUCCGCUCUGGGAUGGGCCCGCGCCGGAUUAGCUAGUUGGUUGGGGUAACGGCCCACCAAGGCGACGAUCCGUAGCUGGUCUGGGAGGACGAGCAGCCACACUGGGACUGAGACACGGCCCAGACUCCUACGGGAGGCAGCAGUGGGGAAUCUUGCGCAAUGGGCGAAAGCCUGACGCAGCAACGCCGCGUGGGGGAAGAAGGCCUUCGGGUUGUAAACCUCUUUCAGUAGGGACGAAGCUUCCGGGGUUAAUAGCCUACGGGGUGACGGUAGGUGCAGAAGAAGGACCGGCCAACUACGUGCCAGCAGCCGCCGUAA
rnacentral:rRNA from 1 species